CUUUUUUAUUUAUUUUUUUAAAAUAAAAAUUACUUUUUUAUAAAACGGUCAGAAACAAAUUUUUAUUUUUUUGGGUAUAAGAAACAAAUUACUAGUACUCGACUCGACAUUAUGUUUUUCUUGUGAUUCAUGAUCAGGUUUAUGGCUUUGUGUUAGGUUUCUUUGUUACCGUUUUCUUUGAAUUCAAUUUCAUUCAAAUUCAUCAUCGAUUCAUUCAACCCUAUAGUAAGAAACCCACAAUGCCACCAAUCUUUCGUUCCACCCAAUUUCUUCUCCGUUUGCGAAACUGAUUCGUCCUGAAUCUCGAUUACUCGAACCCUAACAAAUUUGUUCGAACUAUUUCAUAUCCUUUUUAUACGGUUUCGUGUUGCGAAACUGAUUCGUUGUUUCAUCGUGAAUCUUGAUUACUCAAACCCUAAAACAUUUGUUCUAACGAUUUCGUGUUUGUAAACCCUAAAAGUCUUGAUUCGAUUUGAAAGAGAGAUGUAGAAAUGGAAAAAAAAUUAUAAGCCGUUGCAGUUUGUCAUCAGCCAUUAAACGACGAUGUUGCUAAGGAACUUGUUAAAGUCACCAGAUGCUGGAAGACAUUUAUCUUCACUUGAGUUCCAUUCUACCCCUUCACAAUGUUAGUAUGUUGCUAUAACUUCACAUGUAAUUGAUUUCUGUAAUUUUUUUUGCUUGUAAUGUUGUUUUUAUUUUAUUUGGGCCCUCUCUGGAUAAGCGAUUUAAUUAAGAGAUUAUUCUAUACACACUUAUCAUAAUGGUGCUUCAAUGUAAAUGCUUUCAUAACUUCAAAUGUAAGUGAAGAUGCCACUUGGUGCUAUAGAUGUAAAAUAAUAUGUAUGUCCACCGAUGUCCCUAACUUUAAUAUAUGUCCCUUGAUUUCACUAACUUGAAUAUAUGUCCCUAGAUGUCCCUAAAUUGAUGCUUAUGUUUAGUGCUUAUGCUUAAACUAUUCAUAUGGAAUCAGGAUGGUAUACAGGGAAAUUUUGAUGGUCUAAAUGCAAUUUGAAAUAUGAAUGUUUAUUUGAAAUGCAAGUCGAAACUUGAUAACGAUUUUCUUGUUACGAUACAUUGGAAAGAUGGUUGUGUUCCAUGGUGCCUUUGAUGCUAAAUUGAGUCUAUGUCGGUCGAUGUCCCUAAAUUGACGGCCUGAAUGGAAUUUCAACGCGGAUGCUUAUUCAUAACUUCAAAUGUAAGUGGAUAUGACAUGUGGCACCAUAGAUGCAAAAUAGUAUGUAUGUCCAUCGAUGUCCCUAUAUCGAAUACAUGUCCCUAGAUGUCCCUAAAUUGAACAUAUGUCUCUCGAUUUCACUAACUUGAAUAUGUCCCUAGAUGUCCCUAAAUUGAUGGCCUGAAAUUGAUAUGCAUGUCCCUUGAUGGUCUGAAAUUGAACAUUUUUAGUAUAUUGUGAAGAGGGUUGUGUGCCUUUGGUGUGAAAUUGAGUAUAUGUCCCAUUCUACGCCUUCACAAUGUUAGUAUGUUGCUAUAACUUCACAUGUAAUUGAUUUCUGUAUUUCUUUUGCUUGUAAUGUUGUUUUUAUUUUAUUUGGGCCCUGUUUGGAUAAGCGAUUUAAUUAAGAGAUUAUUCUAUACACACUUAUCAUAUUGGUCCUUAUGUUUAAACUAUUCAUAUGGAAUCAGGAUGGUAUGCAUGGAAAUUUUGAAAUGCAAUUUGAAAUAUGAAUGUUUAUUCGAAAUGCAAGUCGGAUCUUGAUAACGAUUUUCUUGUUGCGAUACAUUGGCAAGAUGGUUGUGUGUCUUGGUGCCUUUGAUGCUAAAUUGAGUAUAUGUCCCUUGAUGUCCCUAAAUUGGCUAUAUGUCCCUCAAUGUCCCUAAAAUGACGACUAUAUGUCUGUCCAUGUCCCUAAAUUGAUGGCCUGAAUGGAAUUUCAAUGCGGAUGCUUAUUCAUAACUUCAAAUGUAAGUGGAUAUGACAUGUGGAACUAUAGAGGCUAAAUAGUAUAUAUGUCCAUCGAUGUCCCUAUAUUGAAUACAUGUCCCCAAAUGUCCCUAAAUCGAACAUAUGUCCCUCGAUUUCACUAACUUGAAUAUGUCCCUAGAUGUCCCUAAAUUGAUGGUCUGAAAUUGAUAUGCAUGUCCCUUGAUGGCCUGAAAAUGAACAUUUUUAGUAUAUUGUGAAUAGGGUUGUGUGCCUUGGUGCCUUUGGUACGAAAUUGAGUAUAUGUCCCUCGAUGUCCCAAAUUGAUGGUCUGAAUGGAAUUUAAAUGUGAAUGCUUAUUCAUAACUACAAAUGUAAGUGGAGAUGACUCGUGGCGCCACGGAUGCAAAAUAGUAUAUAAGCCCAUUGAUGUCCCUAAAUUGAAUACAUGUCCCUCUAUGUCCCUAUAUUGAAUAUAUGUCCCUCGAUGUACCCAAGUUGAUGGUUUGAGUGACUGUAAUUUCAAUGUGAAUGCAUAGUCAUAACAUGAAAUGUGAGUGGAGAUGACCCUUGACGCAAUGACUAUAGUAUGCUUUUUAGUAAUGGCAAAUUAGGAUGAUGAUUAUGUGCUGUGUGACCUUAGAUGCGAUAAUUGAAUAUUUGUCCCUUGAUGACUCUAUAUUUUUGGCCUAAAUUCAAUUUCAUUAUGAAUUUUUAUUCAAAACUUGAUAUGGUGACAUUUUCAUAAAACCAGGUCACCGCCUACGUGGAUAUGGUGCAGCAGAACUUUAGAUGCAGUGUACUGGUGUACCACCAGUUUGACUUGCUACAGCAGGUUAUAAGAGCUUUUAAUAUUUCAAAACUCAAUUCUUUAAUAGGAAAAGCUAUAAACAGAUAUUUUAUGAUGAAGGUUAGAUUGCUUAAAAAGGCCAAUAACAGAAGAUAUGAACAACAUGAGUUGUUAGUCGACCAUUCCCCUGAGUCAGGGCCUUCAAAUUAGUGAGUCAAUCCCAUGAAAAGAACUUUACUAGCAUGCAGAAGUUGAUAACAACCUCCAAAACACUUCAGCCACUUGAUCGCUUAGCAAUCAACAGUAUAUCUAAAAAUAUACCAAACUCACUCCAUUUCUAUGCAAUGAUUGCAAACCAGGCGUUAAGUACCAGAAAUGGCAAUUUUACAAUCAUAAAUUUGCAAUUAACCUUAAAACUGAUGCCUAGUUCCAUAUAAAUUUGAGCCGAUCCCAGAACCAAAGUACCAUUCAUUUCAAUCUCCAAAGAGACUACAAAGAAAUGAAGUCUACAACCAGUCCAAAAUGAGUUAUACUCUGUGCUCAUUGAUAAAAGCUAUUAACAGAAGUAAAUUAGUACUAGCUAGCCAUCUAUUUGUUUUAUCAAAAGCAAUGUAAAGCACAAUUGAGUUUGCUAAUCAAAGCAGGAAAUGAUUCAUGAUAAUGAAAUAGAAAAUAGAUUGCUCUUCAGCAAUGCAGCAAGAUUUGUGGGUUAAUAAACUAUAUAACACAAUUGAGUUUGCUAAUCAAAGCAGGAAAUGAUUCAUGAUAAUGAAAUAGAAAAUAGAUUGCUCUUCAGCAAUGCAGCAAGAUUUGUGGGUUAAUAAACUAUAUAACACAAGAAACUAGAUUGAAGUUAUAUACAUAAGCUUCAAAAUUUGAUAUGCAUGUCGAGACGGCCUUUGAUAGAAUGACUUUUAUGAUGCUUUUCUAAUAAUGAUAAAUUGGCAUGAUGGUAGUGUGCUUUUGGUUACCUUAUAUGUGAAAUUGAGUUUAUGUCGCUUGAUGACUGCAUUCUAUAUUUGAGCCUUAUAACCCCUAAUUGUUGGCUAUUAAUGUAGAAAUAGAAAAGAAUUUUAAGCUUCUUGAUUGGACCUUCAAUGACUCUGCAAACCCUUUCAAGUUUAGCAGUGUUGCUUGUAUCACUUUGAGUUCUUGUGAUUUUUAUCACUUCUACAUCUUUGUUUCAAAUUUUAUCCUGUAUCUUUUGGAUUUUUUUUUAAUUGAUUUGACUCACUUUUGUCUUUCAUGAAGUAACAGAUUCUUCAAACUAUUGUUUGACAUAGAUGUUGUUUUGGGUAGUUUUUUGUAUCAUCCAAGAGUGUGGUAAAUUGGCGAAUCUUGAUUUUUCAUACCUAAGAAGAUUUUGCAGGUUCGCCUGUAUCAAAUCUCUGAUACCACUUGGUGCUUUGCAGAAUGCGACCGCGGCACAAAUAGAUUCUGCUGCUGUUUAUUGGAAAAGGCCGACUCUGGGACGAUUCAAAUGUAAUAUUGAUGCAUCCUUUUCGUCAAAUUUAAACAGACUUGACACUGGAAUAUGAAUCUGUGAUGAACUUGGUCAAUUUGUGUUUUCAAAGAUAGAAUGGAUUGCCCUUCUUUUUGGAGUGGAUGUUGGUGAAGCUCUUUGUGAGUAUAUGUCGCUCGAUGUCCCUAAAUUGUUGGUCUGAAUGCAAUUUCAAUAUGAAUGCUUAUUCAUAAAUGCAAGGUGAGUUGACCCUAGAUGCAAUGACUAUGCAAUGUUUUUUCAUAAUGGUAAAUUGGAUUGAUGGUUUUGUGCCUUGGUGACCAUAGAUGUGAAAAUUGAAUAUAUCUCCCUUGAUGACCCUAAAUUGUUGGCCUAAAUGCAAUUUCAUUAUGAGUUUUUAUUCAUAACUUGAUAUGCAUGUCGAGACGACCCUUGAUAUAAUGACUAUAUGAUGUUUUUUGCUUAAUGAUAAAUUGGGAUGAUGGUAGGUAUGUCUUUGGUGACCGAAGAUGCUAAAUUCUAGUAUAAAAACAAUGAUUAAAGUUGUUUGAAUGCUAACUUGCUAAGAUUGUUUAGAAACUAAAAACUAUAUGGAUGUAUAUUAGAUGAACAUAUCUAAAAUAGAAAUGUAAUUGGAACAUAUUCUAAAAAGAAAUCGAAAAGAGUUGAUUUCCACAAGUCACUGAAAACCAAGUCAAGAGGAGGCUGAGGAAAUUUAUUCCGAAGAACCUUCAAGUUUGAAAUUAUUGAGCCAACAUCUCUUAGAGGAUGUAUCAGUCUGUUUUUUCACAAAUCUCAAUUCUAUAAAAUUUGAAUAUACAUCUUAAUCAAAGAUUGAAUAGGAUUCAUAUUUUUUAGAACAAAAUAGUUUUCUUGAAAGCCUUGGUUUGUUGGAUGGAGAGAUUUGCAACCCUUCCUUCAAGGAAAGGAUAGUUAGGAACAUUUGACGGUGAGAUUGAUGCUGCUAAGGCUUAUGAUUGCGCAGUUUCAGAAUGAGGAGGAGACAGAAAGCUAUACUGUAUUUUCCUUUGGAGUCUGAAGCUAAUCCAAGAAUGAGUGGCAAAAUGAUGAACUUCCUCAAACCAAGAAUGAGUUGAUAUAAUAAAAUAAUCUGAGAUAGUGGUUUAUUGAUCUUCUCUGGUAAAAUCCUUUUUGGACUGAUUGGCAAAAUGAUGAACUUCCUCUGUAUCAAUUCAAGUGUAGUGUAGUCGUGAUUUUGCUCCAUUUGAAGCAGAGGAAGAAUCUAAUACUAGUUGUUUUCUUUUUCACAAUAUCAUUAUUUACUAGUUUAAAUAAACAGAUAUA